UCAUGGUAUUCCACGAGUUCAGAAACCUUCUUGUCAUAAAAACAAUUUUUUCUUGUUUUCAUCUAGAACUUUCUUUUCUCCGACUGUGUUCUACUUCUGCCAUUUUACAUUGUCCUUGGCUCUUUGUUUACACUUCUAGACAGGGAAAAAGUAAGAAAUGAACAUACUCAUGAUGACCUAUCUGUUCUUCAAACAAUUUCAAAUGCAUGUGUUGGAUAGACUUCCAGAUUUAAGACAAAAUGGACUUGCCCAUGAAGUGUUGCAAUGACACAUAUGUAGAAUGGGAGAUUGGUUUGCAGCGGAUGCUUUUGUUUUUGUUCAUUCUUAGCUCUUUGAUUGUGUUUCCAUUUUAUUUUCUUUUUUCCUUUUUAUUAGGAAUAGAUAUUCUUUUGAUCAUACGAGGAACAAAAUAGCAUGUAGUCGUAGAGAUGUGAAUUUUAUUACAUGGAUGAAUUUUUGGUU